rnacentral:lncRNA from 1 species
CAAAAAUAGAAUAAAAGCAUGAGUCCAGCUGGUAUACUAUCUAUAGCACUAUGCAUUUGGUGCUAUCAAGUUUUCCGCCGCUAGAUUUAACCCUUUGACUAUUUUCACCCGUUAGAUUAUACUAUUAAACCAACAACUCACUUAACCCUAGGGGGCCCACAUCAUCCUAACCGUACAUUUUUUAAUCCAAGGGCCGAAAACCUAAUAGCACCAAAUGCUUGGUGCUAUUGAUAGUAUUCCAGCCUAAGUCUAAAAGCAUGAUUAAAAUAUAAUUGAUUUUAAUUUGA